GGUUAAUGAUGAAUUAUGUAAAAGGUCUGAUUCCAUCCAGUCGCUUACUUCGUGCAGUCUCCAAGUUGGCUGUUACGAUGUUGUCAAGCCUAAAUC